rnacentral:rRNA from 1 species
CCAUUCAAGGAAGGAGCAUGCGCGCAAUUACCCAAUCCUGACUCAGGGAGGUAGUGACAAGAAAUAACAAUAAACCGGCUUAUGCCGGUUUAAUUGGAAUGAGUACAAUUUAAACAUCUUAACGAGGAACAAUUGGAGGGCAAGUCUGGUGCCAGCAGCCGCGGUAAUUCCAGCUCCAAUAGCGUAUACUAAAGUUGUUGCAGUUAAAAAGCUCGUAGUUGGAUUUCUGUGGGGACGGAGCGGCCGGCCGCACAUCGCGGUUCGAGCUAGCGCUUUCCCUACAUCCUGCCGCGAACCGUGCUACCAUUAGUUUGGUGGCGCUGGGGAUCGGCUCGAUUACUUUGAGAAAAAUAGAGUGUUCAAAGCAGGCCACAUGCCUUGAAUAAGUUAGCAUGGAAUAAUAACUAAGGACUUCGGUUCUAUUUUGUUGGUGUUCGGGACUGAAGUAAUGAUUGAUAGGGACAGUUGGGGCGGUCUGUAUUCCAAAGCGAGAGGUGAAAUUCUUAGACCUUCGGAAGACAAACAGCUGCGAAAGCGUUCCGCAAGGAUGUUCCCUUUGAUCAAGAACGAAAGUUGGGGGAUCGAAGACGAUCAGAUACCGUCGUAGUCUCAACUAUAAACUAUACCAGCUAGGGAUCGGCCAACGUUAUUUUAUACCGACUUGGUCGGCACCUUAUGAGAAAUCAAAGCAUCUGGGUUCCGGGGGGAGUAUGGUCGCAAGGCUGAAACUUAAAGGAAUUGACGGAAGGGCACCACCAGCCGUGGAGCCUGUGGCUUAAUUUGACUCAACACGGGAAAACUUACCAGGUCCAGACAUAGUAAGGAUUGACAGAUUGAUAGCUCUUUCUUGAUUCUGUGGGUGGUGGUGCAUGGCCGUUCUUAGUUGGUGGAGUGAUUUGUCUGGUUAAUUCCGUUAACGAACGAGACCCCAGCCUGCUAAAUAGCGCGAGUGAGCUUUGCUCGCUGCGAGCUUCUUAGAGGGACUAUGAUGCGCGAUAGCACAUGGAAGUUUGGGGCAAUAACAGGUCUGUGAUGCCCUUAGAUGUUCUGGGCCGCACACGGGCUACACUGGCGCCUGCAACGAGCAUAUCAGCUGGCCCGAGAGGGUCUUGGCUAAUCUUUUGAACCGGCGCCGUGCUUGGGAUUGACCUUUGCAAUUGUUGGUCAUGCAACGAGGAAUGCCUUGUAAACGCGAGUCAUCAGCUCGCAUUGAAUACGUCCCUGCCCUUUGUACACACCGCCCGUCGCUCCUACCGAUGAAUGUUCCGAUGAAAUUUUCGGAGAGCACCUGUGAACUUGGCUCUGCCUUGCGAACGGGAGGCUCAAAGUCACAUAAAUCUGAACAUUGAGAG